rnacentral:rRNA from 1 species
GAUGAACGCUGACAGAAUGCUUAACACAUGCAAGUCCACUUGAACUUCGGUUUGGGUGGCGGACGGGUGAGUAACGCGUAAAGAACUUGCCUCACAGAUAGGGACAACAUUUGGAAACGAAUGCUAAUACCUGAUAUUAUGAUUUUAGGGCAUCCUAGGAUUAUGAAAGCUAUAUGCGCUGUGAGAGAGCUUUGCGUCCCAUUAGCUAGUUGGAGAGGUAACGGCUCACCAAGGCGAUGAUGGGUAGCCGGCCUGAGAGGGUGAUCGGCCACAAGGGGACUGAGACACGGCCCUUACUCAUACGGGAGGCAGCAGUGGGGAAUAUUGGACAAUGGACCAAGAGUCUGAUCCAGCAAUUCUGUGUGCACGAUGAAGUUUUUCGGAAUGUAAAGUGCUUUCAGUUGGGAAGAAAAAAAUGACGGUACCAACAGAAGAAGUGACGGCUAAAUACGUG